rnacentral:rRNA from 1 species
ACUCCUACGGAAGGCAGCAGUGGGGAAUCUUGCGCAAUGGACGAAAGUCUGACGCAGCAACGCCGCGUGAGUGAUGAAGGUCUUUGGAUCGUAAAGCUCUUUCGGGAGGGAAGAAAUGGUCAUGCGUUAAUACCGCAUGGCCUUGACGGUACCUUCAGAAGAAGCACCGGCUAACUCUGUGCCAGCAGCCGCGGUAAU